GUGCAUGUAUCCAUGGAGAGUAGAAAUAUCUUGAGCAGUAAAAAUAUCAACAGACGUCGGCAAGGCUGGUUAGCUUAGUAGCUAAGGUACCUGCGUGUAGUGAAUAUGUUUGAGUUGUAAUCAAGUACUACCUUCUAGCAUGUGUGUACGUGGUACUAGCUAGUUUCUAGGUGUGUGAGGUGGAUGUCCUAGGUGUGUGAGGUGGCUGUACACGUGCAGCACCAACCUAUCUUGUAAUCCCCUAUAAAAGGGCAUGCAUCCAUCUCUUGUAAACCCAAGCAAUGAAGCUUCAAAGUUAGUAGUGUACGUGAGCCUUCCCAGUGCAAGUGUGUGUGCAUUAAUCCUGAGAGAGCUAGUUACUUUUAGUUAUCUAACACUCCGUCGGUGGCAACGGCAGCCUCCUUCUUACCGGAUCAAGGCGCGGAGGUCCAUGCUCCCCUCAUCUGGUUGCUUUUUUAGAGAGAAAACACUCUGGUUGCAGGUAGAAUCAGAAAUCAAAGUCCACAGAGAUGCAUAUGUCAUGGGCGAAUGCAUGAUGUGAUAGAAUUCAGAGGACCUUCAGACUUGGUUCUCUGCUGGGUGUGAAGUGUUUUGCCGAGAUGCAGAUUCAGAGGAUUUUUUCUUUCAAAUUUCUGGCGCUGGUUCAGGCUGAUGUGUGAUCCUCCAAACGAAGGAGCAGACAUCCAUUGAGAAGAAAUUCAUCCAAGCUCUCAAGUUGAAGUCAAACUGGCCAGCUACAUUUCAAAAUUUUAACCAGGUGCAGAAUUUCGUUUGGUAUCAAUAUAUCUAUUGGGAGAUAGAAAGAAUAUGAGGAUCAUCAUGUUUCCAGUAUGAGACGUGGCUCAGCGAUAAUUGCAUCACCAACGCCAAGCCCACCUAGUUCACUAAAAGCAAUAAGCAGGAGAUCACCACGAUGCAUAUCGCCAUCACAUUCAAACCCAAAUAUCUGGGAGCUGCGGUCUGGACAUGAUUAACAGGGCAGGGCAAAGUCAAGCCCCAGUGUGGUGGCGGCAGCAAUGGUGGCCUGCAGGCCACCGGGCUAGCAGCAUGGCAUGCAGUAGUGUGCAGCGUUUCACGGUGGUGCGCUUGUAGCGGCUGUGGAUGAUGAAGUACUGGACCUGCGGCUGCGGUGGACGACCAUCCGCAAGAUCUACAUCAUCAUCUUUGGGUCAGUUCACCAUAAUAGCCAUUCUGCGAUACGAGGAUUCUGCUGGAAAUGAAAAUCGGUACGUCUUGGGAUUAUCUGGCAGAAAUGCACAUAUUACGUUUGAGUAAGGGACACACAUAUCAGCUUAAGGGGGCAAGCCGAUGCCUGCACUCGGGGAGUAUAUUUUUCGUGUUCAUAGGGCUCAUUGUGAAGAUAAUUGUUGCAAUCUGUAUAGCAUUGCCCAUCAUAUUCAUCGGUCCAUUUAUGACCCUGGCGCUACCAGUGGUACGUCUCGUCCAACGGGAUUACGGUGAUGCUGGUGGAGAUGCUGCAACCAAAGCAAAACUGGACGCUGCAAUGAUCAUCUUCUAUGUUCUUGUUACCUUUCAGAGUUUGUCUAUCUUUCUCUGGAUACUUGUUGAUGGAUCUGAAAAGCAGAUGUUGGUGAGCAAACAAUCUGGAUUUGGGGUUUGGGGUCCUAAAAUUGUACUGAAAUACCAGUUAAAAACCAGAGCCAAGUAUCUGAAGGAUGGAUUUUUGCCCGACGACUGGAACUUGAUCACAUUCAGUGUUGGACUGCUGGAGUCUGCAACCUGGGAUGGCCAUCUAGAUGGAGCAAGGGUAUUAGACACUUUAGCCAUGCAAGGUAUAAAUAUAAGACGAGGGCUACUAUCUUCAAGCCAAGCCAUUCAGAGUUUGCUCGACGUGAUUAUCGUCCCCACAAGAACAGACGACCCUGAGAUUAGAGAGCGUGCCGCAAGGAUUGUAGCAGAUCUGGCCAGAGAGCUGCGUAUAGCCCAGUUUUCGGAUGUAUUGAGAUGCAUAUGCUGCUUACUUGAGAGCUGCAAUAAAUAUAGUGCUCCAGAAGUUUCUCAUCCGUCAGAGAAUUUUGAGCAAACUCUUGAUAAAACUGCCUACAAGGUGUCAGUAGAAACAUUAGAGAAUGGUCACCACCAAGAAGAUGUCCACUUGUCAUUGGCGAUCACCGAGCAAACUGACCAUAAACAAGUCGUCAAUCUAUCAUCAGACAAGUCUCCCAAAAGAAGAUCGACAAGGACCAAAAGGAAUAGAAAUAAGUACCACUACUCAUAUGUACCAAAAGGAACAAAAGAGAUGAUCUCUCAAGGACUGGUGAUUCUUAAGAGGCUCACACAAGACGAAGAAAACUGCAUAGAGAUAAUCAGACACCAAAGGCUCCUCAAUAAGAUCAUAUUACCAUUGAACCACCAAGACUUCCUCAGAAAUGGAUGCGACCAUACAUGGGUUGACAUGCUAAGCAGUUCCCUCACAGUGUUGAACAGGCUUAUUAGUGUUGGACCUGCAGAGGACGCCACAAGGCUGCGCCAUGAUAUGUCGCGCAACACAGUAGCUAUCCACAAUUUGUUGAGUAUUUUGGAGGUUGACCGUAAAGGUGCCUUCUUGGAACUAUGUGGACAAGCCAUAGAGAGUCUUGCAGAGCUAGCAACUGUUGAUCCUUUCAGAAAACUAGCUUUUGAUGAAUCUGCGAGCAUGAAAGAAAUGUUUGCCAAGAGGUUGAUGUGCAUCUUCCUUGAGGAUAGGAUCGGAAAUGAUGUAGUGGCAGAAGAAGACCAAGAGAAACACAAGAAAGUGAGGAGAAAAGCAGGGGAAGCACUUGCCAGAUUGCUUCGCAUCCCAAGUGCAAGAGGUAACACUGAUGCUUUGAUUUCCGCAGCAAGUGCUAAUGAUGUUGAUCUACUUCCCAAUCGAGACAUGAUCAAUCUGUUGACCAAGGUUGUUAAUCAAAUAUUAUCUAAGAAAGGAGAAAAGGUUGCAGAUGUGGCGACGCUGGCUGGUUCAAGCAAUAGUAUUCAUGUAGAAAUAGUUGCAGAAAUCCAGCCUACAAACGUUGCUGACACAAACCAGCCUUCCAGUCAGGAAGAUGAUGAACAAGGCGAGGAAAGAAAAUUGUUGGCGGCCAUGUUAUCCCUUACCGCGGCGAUAUGCAACAAAAAUGUGAUCAGUGGAGAUGAUUUUACUCGUGCCGUGCCUGACGAUGCUACACUCAUCAAGAAGCUCAAGGCGAUAGUAGAAAUGAACGAGAAUGCAACGACUGAGGGCUGGAGAAUGCUGAAGCUUGUGUGUCAGGUGGUUAUAGCAAUGGUUCAGCUCAAGCCCAGCUGCAUCAGUGAGUUCAAUGGGCAUGGUUUCAAGGAAGCACUGUCCAAGGUUCUUGAGACCAUGUCAGAUGUUGAUAACUGCAUGCUCUUUGGUGGCGACGACCGCGAGGUGCCUGCCAGGUCCCUCGCUUAUCUUGUGAAAGAGGCACAGGAGCUCUUGGCACAAGAGCAGGGUGACAUAAUCUUUACCUGAUGGAGGUGGGACACUAGUAGAGUAUAUUAUUCGGCUUUGUUUGUUGCAAAAGGUAUGCUUGUGGAGAUUGUCAGCCGAGUUUUGUUGCUGAAGGAUGCUGCUGGAAAUGCGCGCCGGUACCAUUUGGGAUUAUGUGGCAGCAGAUGUAUACAUAUUACGUUUGACAAAGGGACAAAAUCUGAUUUAUGGACCAAACCGAAGGCGACGACCCUGGAUGAUUAUUUUGUUAUUUUUUUUGAAACGGAUGAUGACUAUGUGUAUUGUAUGCACAUGGCUCGCCGUGAAGAUAAUUGGCAUACUCUGUAUAGCAACGCCCAUCGUUGCGGCUGGGAAAUAUGUAGCCCUGACGCUCUCGGUGGCGCGUCUCGUACAAGGGGAUUACGGCGAUGCGGGUGGAGAUGCUGCAAACAAAGCAAAACUAAACGCGGCGUUGAUCAUCUUCUAUGUUCUGGCUAUCUUUCACAGUUCAUAUCUCAUAUACCGGUUAUUUGUUAGUACAUUUGAGCCGUGGAUGUGGGUCGGCAAACAAUAUGGAUUUGGGGAUUGGGGUCCCAAAAUUCUUUGGAGAUACCAUUAUAAAACCAGAGUUGAGUAUCGCAAGGAUGGGUUUUUGCCCAACAACUGGAACUUGAUCACAUUCAGUGUUGGGUUGCUAGAGUCUGCAUCUCCGGACGACCGUCUAUGGGGAGCAAGGGUGUUAGACACUUUCACCGGGAAAGCUGUACCGAUAAGUAUGGAGCUACUAUCUUCCAGUCAGGCGAUCCAGAAUCUGAUAUACAUGGUUGGCUUGACAAGAACAGAUAACCACGAGACCAGAGAGCGUGCCGCAAGGAUUGUAGCAGGUCUAGCCAGCGAGCUCCGUAUAACACAGUUUCCAGAGAUACUGAGAUCCAUAUGCUGCCUAUUUGAAAACUGCAAUCAAUAUAGUGAUCCAAAAGUUGCCCAUCCGUCAAAGAAUUCUGAGCCAACUCUGGAUAAAACGGCCCGCAAGAUGUCAGUAGAAACCUUGGAGCAUAGUCACCAUCAAGAAGAUGCCCACUUGUCACUAGCGAUCACUGAGAAAACUGACCAUAAGCAAGUCAUGAGUCUAGCAUCAGGCAAGGUACCCAACAUAAAAUCAUUGAUCCAGACCCUAUGCAUUCAAUUGUUGCACAAUUGGAAGAUAUAUUAUGGAGUUAAGUACCACUACCCCUAUGCAUCAAAAGGAACAAAAGAACUGAUCUCUCAAGGCCUGGUGAUUCUUGAGAGGCUCACACAAGAUGAAGGCAACUGUAUAGAGAUUAUCAGACACCAAAGGCUCCUCUCUAAGAUCACAUUACCAUUGAGCUACCAGGACCUCCUCAACCAUGGAUGGGAGGACCAUACAUGGGCUGAGAUGCUAAGCAGGUCACUCACAGUUGUGAGCAGGCUUAUCAGAGCUGGACCUGGGGAGGACACCACAAGACUGCGCCAUGAUAUGGCGCGCAACACGGUAGCUGUCCACAAUUUGAUGCGUAUUUUGGAGGUUGACAAUGAAGGUGCCUUCUCGGAACAACAUGGGCUAGCAAUAGAAAUUCUUACAGAGCUAGCCUAUGAUGAUUCUUUCAGAAAAAUAGCUUUUGAUGAAUCUACAACCAUGACCGAAAUGCUCAUGAAGACAUUGCGGCGCAUCUUCCAUGAGGAUAGCGACAACAAUGGUAUAGUGGCAAAAGAAGAGGAAGAGAAAGACAAGAGAGUGAGGAGAAAAGCAGGGAAAGCACUGGCGAGAUUAUUGCUUGGCGUCCCAAGUGCAAGAGAUAAUAGUGUUGCAUUGACUUAUGCACCAAAUGUUAAUGAUAUUUAUCUACUUCCCAAACAAGACAUGGUCAACCUGUUGACCAAGGUUGUUAAACCAAAUAUUAUCUAGUAAAGGAGAAAGGGCUGCAGAUGUGGUAAUGCUAGCUGGUCCAAGCAAUGGUUUUCAUGUAGAAAUGAUUGUAGAAAGCCAGCCUCUAAACGGUUCUGAAUCUGACAGUAGACAGCCUUCCAUUCAGGAAAUUGAAGAACAAUCCGAGGACAGAAAAAUGCUUAUGUCCAUGCUAUCCCUCACCAUGGUGAUAUGCAACAAAAAUGUGAUCAGCGCAGAUGAUCUUACCCGUGCCAUCCCUGACGAUGCAGCACUCGCGAAGAAGCUCAAGGAGAUAGUAGAAAUGCUUCAGGAUGCCACGACUGGCGGCUGGAGAAUGCUAAAGCUUGUUUGUCAGGUGGUUAUAGCAGUGGUUCAUCUCAAACCCAGCUGCACCAGAGAGUUCAAUGAACAUAACUUCAAGGAGGCACUGUCCAAGGCUCUUGCGAUCAUGUCGGGCAUCGACAACUGCAUGAUCUUUGCUGGCAAUGACCGUGAGGUGCCUGUCAAGUCUCUCGCUUCUCUUGUGAAAGAGGCACAGGAGCUCUUGGCACAAGAGCAGGGUGACAUAAUCUCUACCUGAUGUUGAACGGGACAUCAUUUGAGUUUAUUAUUCGUAUUUGUUGCAAAAGGUGCUUGUGGAGUUUGUUUUGCUGAGUUAUGUUGCUGAUGGUGUACAAUGUUUAACAACUUCAUUCGGGUGUAUUAUUCGUCUGUAUUUGUUCCAAUUGAAUUCUCUUUGUCAAUGUUUAACAACUUCAU